rnacentral:lncRNA from 1 species
GGAUACCCGAACUGCUAGCAUACAUACGGACACAAACUUGUAACUAAGUGGAUCUUGGUGCAACAAAUUAUGAAGUUUCAAGUUUACUAUGAAGACGAUGUCAUCCGUAUUUUGGAGGGUUUGAUCCAUAUAUCCCGUCUUCGAACGGGACAUAGGAUGCAAAACCUCGUUAUUUCAAAAACUUUAUUUUGAACAAGUCUUGUUUGUAGAACUUAUAAACUUAUGUUGUCUUUUGCUACAAAACAACUUUUGACUUGUAUCUUUACAUUAUGGAAUGGAUGAACAUCGUUCACACUACGCGCUUCCGCCUUUGACACGGGUGUGA